ACUUAAGUUACAGAGCUGUGCACCCCGAUGCGCAUGUCCAUUUCCGGUUAGCGCGCAUCUACGGCUACCGCCAAACUCAUUCAAACGCAAGAGGUCAAAGUCGUGCACCUGGCCCCAGUGCUCUUACCGAAGGCUGACUCCAGCCUUGAUUUCGGUGGUGUGAGACCCUAAAUACUAAAACCAGCAAACCAACACAGAAGAAAGGAGACAAGGUGGUGUCUGUGACAGUGAAGUUGGUGGCAGUUGGAAAAGAGGUACCCUCGGUCACCAAGACUGUAUUGGCCACCAGGAUACCAGAUAACUGUCUUACCCAGCCAGACCAACUCGGCAGCAGCCGCAGCUUUUCGUCCCACUGCACAUCCUUCGUCACUGCUGCUUCAUUGAUAAGAAGCUUUCUCAGUAGACUGGACCAAAAUCCUUUCGAGACGGACCUGGGGACUUUGAUGACGUCAGAGAAGUCACGAUGAUUCGGAUGUUGAGGGAGUUCAACUAGUUUACUGCAGUCUCGCUUUGACCAACAACUGAGUUCAUUCAACACUCACAGGAAAAGGACUAAAUCUGCGAAACUGGGUCAUAUGUCUCGUACAUUUAACAUUUAUAAUGAUUGUGUAUGUCUAUGGUGCAGUACGUAUGUGUACCUGGUACAUGUAGGAGACAUUGGAUCCAAGGUAUUUGGCACCAUAGAACAGUCCAUCGGGCCAUUUCACCUGAACAGCUUCCCCAACUUCAGGAGGACCCAAGUUCACACAAUCUCUGCUCUACAAAUACAAGAGAAUAAUGGUUAGUCUGUGUAAGUGUCUGAGCAUGUGUCAAAACGUCCUCCUUGAUUCUGGCAUUGUCCACACAUACAGAUACAGUAUUUUCUGAACAGAAUUUUUUCCCCUCCAUUGAGAAAAAAAAACAACCUUUCUGUAUGUAGUUCAGUAAACCUACAAAUCAAACUACUUUGCUGAUCUAAAAACAAGCCUUUUAUAUAUACUUGCUGUGAAAUUUCAAGAUCUUAUUUUUCACACAAUAUGCAUUGCAUUGUUAAGAAAACAAAUGAAGCAAAGUUAAGUUGCAAGUUAAGUUAAGGCUGAUGCUGUCUGGUCUUACAAAAAUUAAAUACAGUAUACAGGCUGCUGAUCGAGAGCUAUCACAAAAACUACAUUUUUUAAAUUUCAAAUUUGAAUGGUUAAUGAUGUUCAAAACACUUACAACAUGAAUCACAAGAUGAAAUGCUGAAACAUAGCGCAGUUGGAUUCUAUAAUUUCAAAAUAUAAAUGGAGUUUGUAUCUAUUUUUUUUCUUUGUGUAAUGUAGUAAAAAUUGUUUAUUUAAGGGUUUUAAGUAAGAAUUAAUGGGGUGUAGAACUUGCUGUAAAUUUAAAUAAGAUUAGGUCAAUUAAGGCUGAGUUGGCUGGUUGAAUACAAAUUAGUAAAAUGUCCUCACUAAUGCAGUGGUAUUAGUGUGUUAAACACACAGAGAGACUCAUCUGUUACCAUAAUUAUUUUAACAAAUCCGUGAAUUUCAACUCAUUGAGAUCAGUCAGUCAUGUCAGUGAUUAUUUGACGCUCCAUAAAAACUCAGCAGCCCUAUGAUAUUUUAUUUUAAUUUUCAGGAAUCCAUGUUUUUUCAUAGUAAAUGCAAAACAGUGAGAAAACCAUUCAAAAUGUGAACUAAUUGGUUUUGCAGACAGACACCUCAGAGAUAUUAAAACAAGCUUCAACUCCCUCAUGCAACGAGCAUUUGAGAAGUAAUGAUAUUUCCUGAAAUAAGGAAGCUCCUUUCAAAAUAAGAGGGUUUUAAUAUGAUAUGAUAUGACCUCGUACAACUGGGAGGUGACCUCUCGAGCAUGACUGUAAUUAAACAUAUUCUCACCACUAUAUCCUCGGGGUAGGUAUCGUUGGAGAAGGAGCCGUCAUCGAACAUGACCUCGUAGAACAUCUGGGACGUGAUCUGGGUGACCUUUGAGCUGUAGUAGCGCAGAUUCUUGUGUUUGGAGAUCACCGUCUGGCCCAGUGAGAUGGACGCUUGGCACGCGCGCUGCUUCUAGUAUAUGCAGAGCGGCAAUUAGACUACUGUAUAACAAUCGGUACAGGAUUAUUUCAAAUCACUUCUACAGUGCUGUUUUUUUAGUUUCAGUUGCAAUUGGAAAAGAUUUGUAAUAAAUAAAUAAAUAAAUAAAAUAACAAAACAUUUUGUAAAGAGU